UAGAACGCAAUGAGUUGCUUCGAACAGUUAAACGUUUAGGAAGAACUAUUUGGAAGAAAUGGUCAGGCUAUCAUCGGCGAAGUUUGGUUGAAACCAAGAUGCAUUGCAUCAAAUUAUUAGGGGAUAAACUCAGUGCGAGAAAUUUUCAAAGCCAAGUCAAUGAGAUUCAUGCACGUAUGGCAGUAUUAAAUAAAUUUACGGACUUAGGCAGACCACAUACCCGAGUUGUCACUUAAAUUUGAGUAGAUAUGAGAAGUCUUAACUUUUAAAUCUUUGUGCAACAAAGCCUGUACGCCCUCAUCCCGAUGGUUUUAAAUCUUAUUUAGGAAAGGAUCAGAAAACCGGCCUCUAUACAGUACGGGUUGGUUGGACAGUAUAUGAAACCAAUGCCAAUGGUUCAGUUUUGUAUA
rnacentral:rRNA from 1 species